GACGAACGCUGGCGGCGUGCCUAAUACAUGCAAGUAGAACGCUGAAGGAGGAGCUUGCUCUUCUGGAUGAGUUGCGAACGGGUGAGUAACGCGUAGGUAACCUGCCUGGUAGCGGGGGAUAACUAUUGGAAACGAUAGCUAAUACCGCAUAAGAGUAGAUGUUGCAUGACAUUUGCUUAAAAGGUGCACUUGCAUCACUACCAGAUGGACCUGCGUUGUAUUAGCUAGUUGGUGGGGUAACGGCUCACCAAGGCGACGAUACAUAGCCGACCUGGGAGGGGGAUCGGCCACACUGGGACUGAGACACGGCCCAGACUCCUACGGGAGGCGGCAGUAGGGAAUCUUCGGCAAUGGACGGAAGUCUGACCGAGCAACGCCGCGUGAGUGAAGAAGGUUUUCGGAUCGUAAAGCUCUGUUGUAAGAGAAGAACGAGUGUGAGAGUGGAAAGUUCACACUGUGACGGUAUCUGACCAGAAAGGGACGGCUAACUACGUG
rnacentral:rRNA from 1 species